rnacentral:rRNA from 1 species
GAUGAACGCUGGCGGCGUGCUUAACACAUGCAAGUCGAACGGGAAGGAUUUGAUUUAGUCUUCGGUCGAUUUAGUGUAAUUGUAAGUGCGAAGUGGGUAGUAUCCCCUUGAUAAUCGGCUUUAUACAGGGAGAUAACAGUCAUAAAGGGUAGCUAAUACCGCUGCAUGGUGGGGAGCGGCAAGGUUCGGUGUGUAAAGCUCGGGUGGGAUAAGAUCGACCCGCGUGUGGUUUGCUGGUUGGUAGGGUAACGGCCCGGCAAGGCGACGAUGCAGAGCCGGGCUGGGAGGGUGACAGGCCACAUUGGGAAUGCGACACGGACCAGACUCCUACGGAAGGGAGCAGUGGAGAAUAUUGCAGAAUGGGGGAAACCCUGAUGACGCGACGCGGCGUGAAGGAAGCAGUAUCUCGGAAUGUAAACUUCUAUGAGAAGGGACGAUAGUGACGGUAACUGACUAAGAAGCCCCGGCUAACUACGUG